UCAAUUUCCCUUUCCUUUCUCCUUCGUGAAGCAGACCACCCUCCAACCUUUUCUUCUCUCAGCCGCGCGAGGUCGCCGUCCACGUCGCCACCCGCGAAUUCAUCAGCGUCGUCAUGCCGUUGUGCCAAUUGCUCGCUGACGUCGGUCCAGAGCUGCACGCAUGUGCCGAUCCAGCCUAUCCUCCACCGAUCUCUCUUAGUUCCGUGCGUCCGUCAUGGAUCCCAACCGCGCACCCAUUUGUCGCCUGCGUAGGUUAGCCGCCACUCAGGUUCUGCCUUCAGUCGACACACGACCUCGAGCUUUCGCUACCAUUAGGGUGUGGACGUGGGUCACUUUCUGUUGGUUUUUGGGUGUAUGCAAUAUGAUGCAAGUAGUUUAUGUUGGUUUGUUCCAAUCCCACAUGAGGCAAAAGAUAAGUACUAUCUUAACGAUUUAGGAUACUUAGAUAUGCCUGGAUUUUUAGCACCAUUCUGCAGUCAAAGAUACUAUUUACGAGAUUUUAGAGAAAGGAGACAACAUCGUCGAGGCAGGCUCAAAUGAAAAGGAGUCUGGUCCACGAAGGAGAUUGGUAGAAUGCAAGGCUCUCCUGAGGCCAAGAAGUUCAACUAAGAUGUCACCAUGUCGUUGAUUCCACUAACUCGAUCCGAAGAGAGUAAUUGCACUCUGAGCAAAAACUCUUCAGAUAAACAAAAUUCAUUUUCUCUCUCUCUCAGCUCGUUUACAGAAACUCUUUUUCUCUCUAAGUUCUUUAUUUCUUUUUUAAAUUCGUACACAGUAAAGAAGAGAAUCAAGCAUACAAAUAGAUAAAAGUGGAAGAGGAAGAAGAGAGCAACAAAAGCAAGCAUGUACGUAGUUCGGCAAGGUGAUGCCUACAUCCACAGGAAGGGAGAUAAUUCAUUUAUUGAAGACUACAGAGAUAAGUUUUAUCUUUCUUUACAGAUCUUGUACAAAAACAGAGGUGUAAAACUCUUGAAGAUUUUGAAUGUAACAUAUAUAUAUGAUUACAAGUUUGUUAUGAAAUCUGUCAAAGAAGGAGAAAAAUAGUUAUUGAGCUGUUGAGAUUAUUUUCUUCAAAUCUCCAUCUUAAUCUCAACUAUGUAGACUUCUUCCUUCUAGAUCUGACCAUUAUUUACUCUUUUUCAGGUAACAUGAAGUCGAUCUAUUCAAGGCACUUAAUGAGCUUGAGCUUCGAGAGAGGUUUGGUAAGUAUGUCAGUUGCAUUCUCCGAGGCCCAAAUGAAAAGGAGUCUGGUCCACGAAGGAGAUUGGUAGAAUGCAAGGUUCUCCUGAGGCCACGAAGUUAAGCUAAGAUGUCAUCACAUGGUUGAUUCCACUACCUCGAUCAGAUGAGAGUAAUUGCACUCUAAGCAAAAACUCUUCAGAUAAUCAAGCAUGCAAAUCGAUAAAGAGGAAGAGGAAGAAGAGAGCAACACAAACAUGUACGUGGUUUGGCAAGGUGAUGCCUACAUCCAUGUGAAGAGAGAUAAUUCCUUUAUUGAAGACUAUAGAGAUAAGUUUUAUCUUUCUUUACAGAUCUUGUACAAAAACAGAGGUGUAAAGCUCCUGAAGAUUUUGAAAGUAACCUAUAUAUAUAUAUAUGAUUACAAGUCUGUUAAAGAAGGAAAAAAUAGUCGUUGAGUUAUUGAGAUUAUUUUCUUCAGUGUCCUUACCCAAUCAAUACACAGAAAUAUAUACCAAGUGCAUGUUGCACGAUUCACAAUUUUAUUCGAUUGUGAUCGGCAAGAUGAUCUAUUUAAUGACUUUAGCAUUGAAUCAAUGAUUGUUGAAGAUACAGAGAGUUUGCAAGACAAUUUGCAUAAUAGUAUAGUUGAGUUAG